rnacentral:rRNA from 1 species
GAUGAACGCUGGCGGCGUGCUUAACACAUGCAAGUCGAACGGAAAGGCCCAAGCUUGCUUGGGUACUCGAGUGGCGAACGGGUGAGUAACACGUGGGUGAUCUGCCCUGCACUUCGGGAUAAGCCUGGGAAACUGGGUCUAAUACCGGAUAGGACCACAUUUUGGAUGGUGUGGUGGAAAGUUUUUCGGUGUGGGAUGAGCUCGCGGCCUAUCAGCCUGUUGGUGGGGUAAUGGCCUACCAAGGCGUCGACGGGUAGCCGGCCUGAGAGGGUGUACGGCCACAUUGGGACUGAGAUACGGCCCAGACCGCUACGGGAGGCAGAAGUGGGGAAUAUUGCACAAUGGGCGCAAGCCUGAUGCAGCGACGCCGCGUGGGGGAUGACGGCCUUCGGGUUGUAAACUCCUUUCGCUAGGGACGAAGCGUUAUGUGACGGUACCUGGAGAAGAAGCACCGGCUAACUACGUG